GCGGCAGGCCUAACACAUGCAAGUCGAACGCUGUAGCAAUACAGAGUGGCAGACGGGUGAGUAACGCGUGGGAACGUGCCUUUCGGUUCGGAAUAACUCAGGGAAACUUGAGCUAAUACCGGAUACGCCCUUCGGGGGAAAGAUUUAUUGCCGAAAGAUCGGCCCGCGUCCGAUUAGCUAGUUGGUGUGGUAAUGGCGCACCAAGGCGACGAUCGGUAGCUGGUCUGAGAGGAUGAUCAGCCACACUGGGACUGAGACACGGCCCAGACUCCUACGGGAGGCAGCAGUGGGGAAUAUUGGACAAUGGGCGCAAGCCUGAUCCAGCCAUGCCGCGUGAGUGAUGAAGGCCCUAGGGUUGUAAAGCUCUUUCGCCAGGGACGAUAAUGACGGUACCUGGAUAAGAACCCCGGCUAACUUCGUGCCA
rnacentral:rRNA from 1 species